UACGUAGGGUGCAAGCGUUGUCCGGAUUCAUUGGGCGUAAAGAGCUCGUAGGCGGCUUGGCAAGUCGGGUGUGAAAACUCCAGCUCAACCUGGAGACGCCACCCGAUACUGCCAUGGCUAGAGUCCGGUAGGGGACCACGGAAUUCCUGGUGUAGCGGUGAAAUGCGCAGAUAUCAGGAGGAACACCGGUGGCGAAGGCGGUGGUCUGGGCCGGAACUGACGCUGAGGAGCGAAAGCUAGGGGAGCAAACAGG
rnacentral:rRNA from 1 species